rnacentral:rRNA from 1 species
GACGAACGCUGGCGGCGUGCCUAAUACAUGCAAGUCGAGCGGAUUUUCGGAAGCUUGCUUCCGAAAAUUAGCGGCGGACGGGUGAGUAACACGUGGGCAACCUGCCUGUAAGACUGGGAUAACUUCGGGAAACCGGAGCUAAUACCGGAUACAUUCUUCCCUCGCAUGAGGGAAGAUGGAAAGACGGGUUUGCUGUCACUUACAGAUGGGCCCGCGGCGCAUUAGCUAGUUGGUGGGGUAAUGGCCCACCAAGGCGACGAUGCGUAGCCGACCUGAGAGGGUGAUCGGCCACACUGGGACUGAGACACGGCCCAGACUCCUACGGGAGGCAGCAGUAGGGAAUCUUCCGCAAUGGACGAAAGUCUGACGGAGCAACGCCGCGUGAGCGAAGAAGGCCUUCGGGUCGUAAAGCUCUGUUGCCAGGGAAGAACAAGUACCAUAGUAACUGAUGGUACCUUGACGGUACCUGACCAGAAAGCCACGGCUAACUACGUGCCAGCCGCCGCGGUAAUAC